UCUCCUGCUGUGCUAGCAACAGAUACCUGAGAAGAGAUGUCGGGUUUUUGCUAUGUUAGACGUUAAAUUUCUUUCAAAGUUUUGGUAAUUUAACUUGCAAUAUAUGAACGAUACCAUAGCAAAAAUUGUCUACUUGAAAAGCUCUUACUCUCCUCACUUAGAUUAUGUGUAUCACAUACCAAAUGUGUCAAUCCUUUUGACCAACUAUCACAAUAAGCCCUUGAAUUUUCUCCCUCUUAUUGGUUAUUGCUGUCGGUCUCUAAUCUAAUCUUACUCAACCUAAUACUAUUCUGAGUAAUCCUUUUGGUUAUCAUCUUACAAAGUGCCAAAUUAAAGAGUAGUGAGGUUUAUCUACUACCAUAGAACAAUAAAAUUACAAGUAGAGGAGGUAAAGGAGGAAGUCAGAAUUAAUGCAUUUUGUCACAGAUGGAAGUAAAACUUUGACCUCUUCUUCCCAUGAAGUAGUGGUGCCUAAUGAUGGAACACCAUUCCACAAGAAUGAUAUAAAAGCUGAAUUGUUUUCACAAGUGGUGAUUGAUUCCACAAUUUCAGCUUCCCAGGCAGAUACCGAUCCACAAAGCCAUGGGUAAUAGAUAAUAUAAAAUUAUAAUUGAUUUAACAAAAAUACUUGCUGAGAUUGAAUGCAAUAAUUUUGUUAUCGUAAACUGAUCGUUGUGUUGAAAAAAGCAAAAAUGGAUAUUCGAAAUGAAGGUACUUAAAUUAACAUAGAUGUUCAUGUGAAAAAAUUUGUAAAAGUAUGUCUUGAAAUAGUUAACAGGCAUCAUGAUUUAAUACACAAUGAAUGACA